UGUGCUUUAUAGAUCGUACCUCAUAUAUUUCCGGAAAUACGGUCCGGAAGUCUCUACCUGCUACCGUAAAUGGCGGACUAUGAGGGAAGAUGGACUGCAU
rnacentral:ncRNA from 1 species